UACGUAGGGUGCAAGCGUUGUCCGGAAUUAUUGGGCGUAAAGAGCUCGUAGGCGGUCUGUCGCGUCGGCUGUGAAAACCCGGGGCUCAACCCCGGGCCUGCAGUCGAUACGGGCAGACUAGAGUGCGGUAGGGGAGACUGGAAUUCCUGGUGUAGCGGUGAAAUGCGCAGAUAUCAGGAGGAACACCGGUGGCGAAGGCGGGUCUCUGGGCAAUUCCUGACGCUGAGGCGCGAAAGCGUGGGGAGCAAACGGG
rnacentral:rRNA from 1 species